GCUUUCGUGGUGUAAUGGUCAGCACGCUUUCCGAGUAACCGAGAGUUCUGUGGUUCGAUUCCCGGCGAAGGCG
rnacentral:tRNA from 1 species